rfam:Oryza glumipatula chromosome 7, whole genome shotgun sequence.
AAUAAGUACAGUUUUGUACUAUUCACGUUCAACGUUUGACCGUUCGUCUUAUUUAUUUUUUUUUAUGAUUAGUAUUUUUAUUACUAUUAGAUAAGAUAAUAAAACAUUAAUAGUACUUUAUGUGUGACUAAAUAUUUUCAAAUAAUACGGAUGGUCAAAUAUUGGGCACAGAUAUUCACAGCUGCAUUUAUU